UACAUGCAAGUCGAACGAGUUCUGAUUAUUGAAAGGUGCUUGCAUCUUGAUUUAAUUUUGAACGAGUGGCGGACGGGUGAGUAACACGUGGGUAACCUGCCCUUAAGUGGGGGAUAACAUUUGGAAACAGAUGCUAAUACCGCAUAAAUCCAAGAACCGCAUGGUUCUUGGCUGAAAGAUGGCGUAAGCUAUCGCUUUUGGAUGGACCCGCGGCGUAUUAGCUAGUUGGUGAGGUAACGGCUCACCAAGGCAAUGAUACGUAGCCGAACUGAGAGGUUGAUCGGCCACAUUGGGACUGAGACACGGCCCAAACUCCUACGGGAGGCAGCAGUAGGGAAUCUUCCACAAUGGACGCAAGUCUGAUGGAGCAACGCCGCGUGAGUGAAGAAGGCUUUCGGGUCGUAAAACUCUGUUGUUGGAGAAGAAUGGUCGGCAGAGUAACUGUUGUCGGCGUGACGGUAUCCAACCAGAAAGCCACGGCUAACUACGUGCCAGCAGCCGCGGUAAUACGUAGGUGGCAAGCGUUAUCCGGAUUUAUUGGGCGUAAAGCGAGCGCAGGCGGUUUUUUAAGUCUGAUGUGAAAGCCCUCGGCUUAACCGAGGAAGUGCAUCGGAAACUGGGAAACUUGAGUGCAGAAGAGGACAGUGGAACUCCAUGUGUAGCGGUGAAAUGCGUAGAUAUAUGGAAGAACACCAGUGGCGAAGGCGGCUGUCUGGUCUGUAACUGACGCUGAGGCUCGAAAGCAUGGGUAGCGAAC
rnacentral:rRNA from 2 species